rnacentral:rRNA from 2 species
UGCGGACAGUGUCUGGUGGGUAGUUUGACUGGGGCGGUCUCCUCCUAAAGAGUAACGGAGGAGCACGAAGGUUGGCUAAUCCUGGUCGGACAUCAGGAGGUUAGUGCAAUGGCAUAAGCCAGCUUGACUGCGAGCGUGACGGCGCGAGCAGGUGCGAAAGCAGGUCAUAGUGAUCCGGUGGUUCUGAAUGGAAGGGCCAUCGCUCAACGGAUAAAAGGUACUCCGGGGAUAACAGGCUGAUACCGCCCAAGAGUUCAUAUCGACGGCGGUGUUUGGCACCUCGAUGUCGGCUCAUCACAUCCUGGGGCUGAAGUAGGUCCCAAGGGUAUGGCUGUUCGCCAUUUAAAGUGGUACGCGAGCUGGGUUUAGAACGUCGUGAGACAGUUCGGUCCCUAUCUGCCGUGGGCGCUGGAGAACUGAGGGGGGCUGCUCCUAGUACGAGAGGACCGGAGUGGACGCAUCACUGGUGUUCGGGUUGUCAUGCCAAUGGCACUGCCCGGUAGCUAAAUGCGGAAGAGAUAAGUGCUGAAAGCAUCUAAGCACGAAACUUGCCCCGAGAUGAGUUCUCCCUGAGACUUAG